CCCGUUUGGCCUUAAAAGAAUUGUGAUCCUUUUCCCCAAGAUUUCUUCUAUUUUUUAACACAGGAUAACAACACAAUAAUGAAUAACAUAUACUGAGGUAACCAAAAGCAUAAAUCAAUCAAGGAAAACUACACAAACCAUUUAACAUGGAAUAAGAUAAAAUGACAAUUAAAGAAGGGAAAUGAAUCAUGGUCUUUUAAUCCUAUGGCCCUUUUUACAUGCUCAAUGAUUUUAUAUCUUCCUUUGACUAACAGUCUUUCACCAUCAACUAGAUAUUCUCAUGGACAAAAGCAACAAAUUCGAAACACUUGAGCAAUUCAAACCCUGCUUCUAAUUACGAAGUAAAACCAAGAUAUCAAGACAACAUAACAAUGACCCUUAUUUGAAAAUCUAGAUGCAACUGUGAUAACCAUACAUCAAACUUCAUUCAAAACCUUAUUACAAAAAGUUGUAAUGUCUCUAACACAAUUUCAAAACCAAAAUUACAUAGGCAGACUCCCAAUCACAUUGUAUAUCCACUUGGUUCAAGAAUUCAAUAUUUUUUCCCCUUUAUGAGAUUUUCAACACAAACAGAAGGCGGAUCCUAAAAACGCAGAUGUAACAAUUACAACUUCAUGCUCAAGAAACAAACCUACAUCUAUUGAUGAACACAGUAUAACCAUGGCAGGCAGAAGAGAAUAUAUACAAAUUGACUGAACUUAGAAGCCAAUUACUAAAAAGAAUUUGAUAACUCAUUACAUCAACUUCAACACAUGCAUCUUCAUAUUUAAUUCACACUCCAAGGAUUUAAAAGAGUACCUGUAUACAGCAAAACAAAAGAAAACCAGAAGAAAUGUGUCUAAGAUCAGUUUAUGACAACCAAGAAAUAACGGAGCUCAGCAGCAAAGGAACAACAAUGGUAAUCAACCAAUAACCUCAAUAAUCAGCCAUGUUUCAGCUUUGGAAACCCGAAAAAAUCCCCAGAAAAGUCAACCCAAAACUUUUUGCCAAAGGAAAAUGAAGCUCAAAACUAGAUAGUUUUAUCAGAAAAAGAUUUUUAGUCGUUUCUCUUUUUGGUGAGUCUUAGUCUCUGCCCUAGAAAUGAGGAGAAUGAGCCACUUAUAGCAAGCUUUAGGGCAGCAAAAUUGAUUUUAAACUUUUACUAUUACC
rnacentral:lncRNA from 1 species